GGCAGCAGCCGCGGGAACACCGGCAGCUCUAGUGGUAGCUGUUUUAUUGGGCCUAAAGCGUUCGUAGCCGGUUUAAUAAGUCUCUGGUGAAAUCCUAUAGCUUAACUGUGGGAAUUGCUGGAGAUACUAUUAGACUUGAGAUCGGGAGAGGUCAGAGGUACUCCUGGGGUAGGGGUGAAAUCCUGUAAUCCUAGGAGGACCACCUGUGGCGAAGGCGUCUGACUAGAACGAAUCUGACGGUGAGGAACGAAAGCUAGGGGCGCGAACCGGAUUAGAUACCCGGGUAGUCCUAGCCGUAAACUAUGCGGACUUGGUGUGAGGGUGGCUUUGAGCCGUCCUGGUGCCGAAGGGAAGCUGUUAAGUCCGCCGCCUGGGAAGUACGGUCGCAAGACUGAAACUUAAAGGAAUUGGCGGGGGAGCACCACAACGCGUGGAGCCCUGCGGUUUAAUUGGAUUCAACGCCGGAGAUCUCACCAGCGGCGACAGCAGUAUGAUGACCAGGUUGAUGACUUUUGUUUGACAAGCUGAGGGGUGGUGCAUGG
rnacentral:rRNA from 1 species